CCUACGGGAGGCAGCAGUGAGGAAUAUUGGUCAAUGGCCGAGAGGCUGAACCAGCCAAGUCGCGUGAGGGAAGAAUGUCCUAUGGAUUGUAAACCUCUUUUGUCAGGGAGCAAAGUCACCCACGUGUGGGUGUUGGAGAGUACCUGACGAAAAAGCAUCGGCUAACUCCGUGCCAGCAGCCGCGGUAAUACGGAGGAUUCGAGCGUUAUCCGGAUUUAUUGGGUUUAAAGGGUGCGUAGGCGGGUGAUCAAGUCAGCGGUAAAAUCGUGGAGCUCAACUCCAUCCAGCCGUUGAAACUGAUGAGCUAGAGUGUGCGAGAGGUAUGCGGAAUGCGUGGUGUAGCGGUGAAAUGCUUAGAGAUCACACAGAACUCCGAUUGCGAAGGCAGCAUACCGG
rnacentral:rRNA from 1 species